rnacentral:sRNA from 1 species
UUAUAGCUUGGUUAGAAGCCGUAUUUUUUCCUUUCAAUGAAGAGAAAAUAUAGCUAGUGUGCCACAUCCAAG